CUUCUACUCCCUCCGUUCGAAAAUACUUGUCAUCAAAAUGGACAAAAAGAGAUAUAUCUAGAACUAAAAUACAUCUAGAUACAUCUCCUUUUAUUCAUUUUGAUGACAAGUAUUUCCGGACGGAGGGAGUACAUU
rnacentral:pre_miRNA from 1 species